ensembl:miRNA
AGCGUCUGCUUGUGCAUCUCAAGGAUGUGCUUCCACAUAGCAGUAUGUUCCUGAGAUGGACAAGGAGGCACU